rnacentral:lncRNA from 1 species
UGCUGUGUAGAGGAGAGAGAAGAAGGUGGUAGGCGUGUGUAGGUAAGUAGGGAAUUCUGAGUGAGUGAAGGAAAUGAUGUGGGAAGCGUGAGUGAGAGUCGAUAGGUGGCGUGUAGGUAGUGGGCUAGAGAGAAAUAAAAAGAAUCUCUUUAUUUUUUCCUUGGCCAGCUGUCCUUGUUUGAGAUACGGAUUUGAAGGAGAAUCCAAUGCAAAUGCCUCUUUCACCUUU